GACGAACGCUGGCGGCGUGCCUAAUACAUGCAAGUAGAACGCUGAAGGAGGAGCUUGCUUCCAUGGAUGAGUUCCGAACGGGGGAGUAUCGCGUAGGUAACCUGUCUCGUAGCGGGGGAUAACAAUUGGAAAAGAUAGCUAUUAUCGCAUAAGAGUAGUUGUUGCAUGAGAUUUGCUUAUAAGAUGCAAUUUUAUCACUACCAGAUGGACCAGCGUUGUAUUAGUUAGUUGGUGGGGUAACGGCUCACCAAGGCGACGAUACAUAGCCGACCUGAGAGGGGGAUCGGCCACACUGGGACUGAGACACGGCCCAAACUCCUACGGGAGGCAGCAGUAGGGAAUCUUCGGCAAUGGACGGAAGGCUGACCGAGCAACGCCGCGGGAGUGAAGAAGGGUUUCGGAUCGGAAAACUCGGUUGUGAGAGAAGAACGAGUGUGAGAGUGGAAAGUUCACAUAGUGACGGUAUCUUACCAGAAAGGGACGGCUAACUACGUG
rnacentral:rRNA from 1 species